UACGUAGGCGGCAAGCGUUGUCCGGAUUUACUGGGCGUAAAGAGCGCGCAGGCGGUCGGAUAAGUCGAAUGUGAAAGCCCCCGGCUCAACUGGGGAGGGUCAUUCGAUACUGUUCGACUCGAAGGCAGGAGAGGGAAGUGGAAUUCCCGGUGUAGUGGUGAAAUGCGUAGAUAUCGGGAGGAACACCAGUGGCGAAGGCGACUUCCUGGCCUGUUCUUGACGCUGAGGCGCGAAAGCUAGGGGAGCAAACGGG
rnacentral:rRNA from 1 species